UACGUAGGGGGCAAGCGUUGUCCGGAUUUAUUGGGCGUAAAGAGCGUGUAGGCGGCCAUACAGGUCCGUUGUGAAAACUGGAGGCUUAACCUCCAGACGUCGAUGGAAACCGUGUGGCUAGAGUCCGGAAGAGGAGAGUGGAAUUCCUGGUGUAGCGGUGAAAUGCGCAGAUAUCAGGAGGAACACCGGUGGCGAAGGCGGAUCUCUGGACCUUACCUGACGCUGAGGCGCGAAAGCUAGGGGAGCGAACAGG
rnacentral:rRNA from 1 species